UGGGGAAUAUUGGACAAUGGGCGAAAGCCUGAUCCAGCCAUGCCGCGUGUGUGAAGAAGGUCUUCGGAUUGUAAAGCACUUUAAGUUGGGAGGAAGGGCAGUAAGCGAAUACCUUGCUGUUUUGACGUUACCGACAGAAUAAGCACCGGCUAACUCUGUGCCAGCAGCCGCGGUAAUACAGAGGGUGCAAGCGUUAAUCGGAAUUACUGGGCGUAAAGCGCGCGUAGGUGGUUCGUUAAGUUGAAUGUGAAAGCCCCGGGCUCAACCUGGGAACUGCAUCCAAAACUGGCGAGCUAGAGUAGGGCAGAGGGUGGUGGAAUUUCCUGUGUAGCGGUGAAAUGCGUAGAUAUAGGAAGGAACACCAGUGGCGAAGGCGACCACCUGGGCUCAUACUGACACUGAGGUGCGAAAGCGUGGGGAGCAAACA
rnacentral:rRNA from 1 species